UUUUCAGUAGUUAUAUUUUUUUAAUUUGUCUUUUCAAUCCCAUUCAAGGAGAGCUGAAUCUAGGGUUUAUUGACUAACUUUGCAAGUGUGAUUUGGGUGUACAGCUCAACUUGAUUAGAUUUUCAGUAGUUAAUGUUUUUUUAAUCUCAUUUAUUCUACUUUGGUUUUGCAUCAGAGUUGCACCUGCACAUAUAAACAAAUCCAUCUUCAUGUGUCAUAUCUUAUUCUGUCUAAUUCUGUAGAUUCAGUGGAAUAGAAUACUAACAUCGUAUUACGAAUUACAUUCUUUCCGUCGAAUACUGAUUGCUUUAAUCUGAAAGUCUUCCAUUACUAUUUUGUAGCCUACCGAUAAUAGAAUUGUAGUUUAGGAGAUAUGGUGAAUCGGUGAAAUUUGGAGUUACAUUGUAAAUUAGGAGCUAAUCUUAAGGUCCUCUAUUACAAUUUUUUAUAGUUUGCUAUUGGAGUAUUAGGGUUCUAUUAUUGAUUAUAAUUUUGAAUGUGAAUUAAUUUAUGCGCUAAUCAAAUUCUGAUGGACUAAUCAAACACAGUGUUUCAGACCAUACGAGUACCAUUAAUUACUACUAUUAUGUAUAAAAAUCGGUUUGUUUGUGUUUUUCCAAUUUCAUUAAUAUGUUGGAGAAGAAUUGAUGUUAUGUUUUAAUGUCAGAAGUUGAAAAUUUCAAAACUUCUAUCAGUUUAUUGUUUGCGAUUAUUAUGGAUUAAUACUAUUUGAAACAACCCAUUGUCUUGCAGGAUGGGCAUGAUACUGAAAAAGUGAAAAUCCAAAGCAAAGCACUGCUGAUAUGACUGUUUUUAAUGAAAUAUGCGAGGUAAUUCAAUCGGAUCCCUCUCUUGCAAACGUAGAUGUAAUUGAAAAAUGUUUUGGUUCUCAAUGCCAUAGUCAUGUGGCUGGCUAUGGCGGUGGAGUAAAAUUAGAAGACUUGAAGGGUCCACCAACUACGAAGGUUGAUCGUGAAACUAAGCUUCGAGAAGAGAAUUAAUUAUUGAGAGAUUGCGUAAACACAUUGGAAGAUAAAUUUAGAAAGUUUGAAGAAGUGUUCCUUGCUCAACAAUAUAAUGACCUACCAACGGCUUAUUCUCAUUCAACUGAUGGCCUACAAAGUUAAUCAUACCUUAACAUGGAUAUGUGGAUCGGAUCCGAGAAGGCUACCGCAUGACGAUUGUGUCUGACUUGUGCCAAAGGGAAUAGCAGUCUCUUUUGGAUUCAAAAGAAUUUUUUUUUUUGCUAGGACACUUAAGAUUUUAGAUUCCUAACUUAGUAUUUUAGUUUUUUGGCUGUUUAUUUAUAUAUAUUCAAUCAUAUUAGAUACUAAUUUUAUAAUUAGCUAAUUUCUUUUGAAUGAUGAUAUUCAGUUGAUAUUAGAUACUAAUUUUGUAA